GGUUAGUACAAUAAUUUCAUUUUUAUUUUUAUAUUUUUAGUGUCAUUAUAUUUAUGGGUUUGAAAUCUGUUAUGCAGUUGGGGUUUUUUAACACGAAUUGAUUUGCUUUGAAUUCAGGCAUUAUAUACAUCAAAAUACAGCCGUUGUUUAUAACAGUGGUUCCCAAAGUAGGUGAUACUGACCCCCUGGAGAUGGUUGAAAGAUCUGUUUGUGGUGGUAUGUGUGUGCUAAGAAUGUGGCCUAGGUGCCAACAGGGCAGCAGUCUGAAAAAGUUUGGGAACCACUGGUUUAUAACAAACUGUAGAUUACAGUUCAAUCUAAUAAACAGCAUACAACUGUAUUAAUAACUAAAUAACAGUUAAUAAUACAACAAUAAAUACUCUAAUAUUAGGAUUUUUUUUUAGCAUUGGGAAA